GACGAACGCUGGCGGCGUGCUUAACACAUGCAAGUCGAACGGACGGGCCCUGCUUUUGUGGGUUUCUCGAUUGGCGAACGGGUGAGUAACACGUGAGUAACCUGCCCUUGACUUUGGGAUAACUUCAGGAAACUGGGGCUAAUACCGGAUAUGAGCUCCUGCUGCAUGGUGGUGGUUGGAAAGUUUCGGCGGUUGGGGAUGGACUCGCGGCUUAUCAGCUUGUUGGUGGGGUAGUGGCUUACCAAGGCUUUGACGGGUAGCCGGCCUGAGAGGGUGACCGGCCACAUUGGGACUGAGAUACGGCCCAGACUGCUAAGGGAGGCAGCAGGGGGGAAUAUUGCACAAUGGGCGGAAGCCUGAUGCAGCAACGCCGCGUGCGGGAUGACGGCCUUAGGGUUGUAAACCGCUUUCGCCUGUGACGAAGCGUGAGUGACGGUAAUGGGUAAAGAAGCACCGGCUAACUACGUG
rnacentral:rRNA from 1 species